rnacentral:tRNA from 1 species
GGCUCGGUAGCUUAGUUAGAAAUGCACUUGUCUAGCGAAUAAGGGUCGUGAGUUCAAAUCACACCUGAGCCG